GGUACGCGUGCACAAUUCUUCGCGCCAGCCGCCGCUGCACUGCGUGCAGCACGUCUCGUAUGCGGCGGCUGGCUAACGCCUUGCGGAACCAGACUGGGGCUCCAUACAAAGCCCCAGCCAUGGCCACGUAGGCGUACGCGCGCUUCGCACCGACUCUCGGACCUCGGAGGUUGGGCAUCAACCCCCGGAGGGCGUCCGUCCUCCUGCCCAAUCGCUGGGCCAAUUGGUUGAAAUGCUUGACAAAGGCCCAGCGACCGUCCAAUAACAACCCCAAAUAUUUUAGGGUUGCCCCCACUUGGACCUGGGUGUUGUCCACCCGGACGAAAGCCCGGGGCGGUACCCGGGAGGAGCCAUCAUAGAAGAAGAUAGCUUCCGUCUUCUCCGGGGCCGCCCUCAGGCCCAGGCUCUUGAUGGAGCCGACGACACAGUUCACCGCCCAAUUGUCCAUGGCAAUUGCCAUCACCCAGGAGGCUCCCCCGGCCACCACGAAUGUGUCGUUAGCGUAUCCGACGACGUGGCAGCCGGGGGGGGAGGGCCCCGCGGAGUGUAUGUGGCAUUCCAUAGCAGUGGCCCGAGCACGGACCCCUGCGGGACGCCACACGACAUGUCCCAGCAUCUCGCGGCCCUUACGCCGGGGCAUUUUUUGAUUGGCGAACCGCUUACCAACCUGCCCGAGCCGACUCCACCCGAAGCUCCAGCUUGUUAAAUCGUUGGCGGUUGGUUUCAGCUUUACGGACUCAUUUUUGGCAGAGAUGGGCCAAGGAGUAUCUCCAUCAUCUGCAGCAGGCUACCAGUUGCGUGGCACACUGGCCGACGCAACUUUGCCGUCGGAGACUUUAUUCUGAUCAAAGACGAAUUGUUGCCCCCGGCUAAGUGGUCCCUGGGACGUGUCACAGCGGUGAGCCCGGGACCGAAUGGACUCGUACGGGUGGUCACCGUAAGGACGGCCUCCUCCACGCUGACGCGCCCGGUCACCAAACUGUGCCUGUUACGCCCUGAGGCGACGGAGGAUCCACGUCCCGCGCAGGACUACGCCGAGGACGUCGCCAAGGCUUCCGCCGACUAAUACUUAAUCGAUAGGCGGGACUACCGCUUCACGGAGUUCCGCCGACAGGGUCCUUCGAGCAUUGCGUCCGUUUUGUCAACUUGACGAGGCGGGCGAAAUGUUCGCAUUCUUAUUGCUUACACUGUAAAUCUAGACUAGAUGGCUGUAUCUGCCGGCCGAGUUUCCGUUGCCCGGUGGAUCGAGCAUCUGGAGCGGGGUUUUGGCCGGUGGGGUAAGGGAGACGCGCGGCUUGCCGGCUUGGGAAGCGCGCGCCUAUCCGCUUUUGUAUUUUCGUUGCGAGAGAACCGAGUGCUCAUUGAACGAAACGGUGAUUUCCAAAACGAAAGUUUUUCUUUAUUUUCGCCUACUCCGACCGACAGACACCGUGGAAAGGCUCUAAGUUCCUUAAAAUUAAGGCAACCGAGCUGAAGAAACGAACAGACCGCUUAAUUAGCAAACUCUAACUUAAAUAUAACUACUUAAUCAAACUAUUAACAAAUAUAUUUUUAUCUUGCUUUCUUUAAUCAGCCUUUUAUAAUAGCAUCACAGUCAAUAUUGUUCAUAUUUUUGUUUUCUAUGUAUAAGAAAGAAAGCGCUAGAGAAAAAAAGAACCAGUCUGGUUUGCCCCACAGUUGAUCUUUGUAAGUAAUUUUUUAUCUGUUUUAAUGUGGAAAACGAUCUCUCUGCUGGGGCAUUGGAUAACGGGCUUAUUAAAUAAAUUUCCAGUAAAGUAAUGAUAUUAGAAAAUGUUAAAUUAACACUUUGCGUUUGCUCUAAUUUUUUAUAAAAAUUUUUCAAGUUUUGUGUCGGGCCCUCACAGUGACCAGGUUUUGAGGCGUGCGCCUCAUAUGCUUCAUGUAUAAUUCACCACUGGUUUCCAUGUUCAUUUGUUCAAAAAAUACGCAGCUUCAUGCGCAUUCAUGUCCGCAGACUGUGAGCUCUAUUUUGUUUCUAAGUGUAUUUGUUCAUACGCGACAAAUACAUGGACCCAUACGCGGAUCGUUCUCUGUCACUGCCGAGUUCUUGCGGAACGUUUGUCUAUAACGAGUGUUGAUCUACACCAGUCAUUCGCGCUACUGUUUAAUUAUUUUAGAGGUGUAUUGAACUUCAAGAUUUUUAUAUUAAUUAUAUUAAUAUAUAAAUGCAUACUUCUAAGCGGAGUGAACAGUUCGGUAUGCUGUUUAAAGCGUAUAGAAAAAAAAAUAUUCUGACCAAACAGGAGACUUUUGUCAAAAAGAAGUGACAAAGAUAUGGAAGGAUGCAAAAAAGUGUGAAACGGAGUUUGAUAAGUGUAUCUCGGCUUUGAUCACAAAUUAUGAGAAGCAUAUAACAAAAUAAAAAACACGUAAUAUAUUACCGUUUUUUCAAAAGGUAAGUAUUGCAGCUCUUUUCCAAAAAUAAUCUGCAAUAGUUACAGUGACAUUUUUUCUGUAAUUGUAGUAAAAGUUAUGAAGCUGAGAAAAAUGUGGACUGGAAUAAAUUACUUUAUGUAGGAUUUAAGAAGUUUUUAUUAGUUAAAAAUGUGAUGUUUUUUGGUGUUAACACUUUAAAAAUUUCUUUAGCCUUCAUGAUAUUAGUUACCUAAAUGUAUCUAUGCCGAUUUUAUACAAAAUAAAAAUGGGUUGUCAAGAUUUGAUCUGAUUUCUGAUCUCAGAUCUAUUGAAAUUUUAGGGUGAUUUAAAUUAUCUCUUAAUCCCAAUUAGAACUAGAGUUAUGAAAAUUCAUUUUUUGACGCUAAACCUUUUAUUAAUUAGAUAAAAAAGUUAAUGAAUAAUAUAAAAGUACUUUUUAAAUUUUCUAUAUGCUUAUUUGAACAAUCUAGAGCUCGCAGAUUUAAAUAAAUAUUUUAAAACUUUAUAUAAGUAAUUUAAAAACCAAUAAUUUAAAAAAUUAUCGAAAUUCAUUCAUUAUAAACAGAAUUAGUUAAUUCUAAAAUAUUAUACAAAAUUGUAUUUUUUAAAUCAAGAGACGCGGUCGCGUGUUGCGCCUAUGUCUUUCUCUCUGUCUCUUCUCUGAAUGAACGAGCGAGAGCAUCAAUCGCCGCCUCUUUUACGCGAAUCAGCGAGUUCAAGCAUACCGAGAUUAUCAGAUCUCCGUAACGGCUAAACCGAUCAAGUUCUGAGUAGUUUCGAUAGCUUGGGGUCGAAUUGUAUAAUAAAAGUGAUUUUAUUUUUUCUCUUCAUGCCCUACAAGCGGAGAUAUCGUAAUGCAAAUUCUAAGUUUUCGAUAUUUUGAUGUAAGAGACAAAAUUGUCAUUGUCGACCUCAGGAAUUCUCCCUUUGACAUUUUCAAUUAUUUUAGACUCCGCCUGCUGCAGUAUCUAGUGUAGCUCCUUUGUCUAGCGGUGCAUUGCCUGCUUAGACAGCAUCCUGUGCUUAUCUCGCAGCAAGAAAAACUAUAGACAAUACAGAUAAUAAAGACGAUGUAGAUGACCCUGAAAUCGAUGCAGCUUCUUCAUUAGUAUCAAGGAAAUAUUGUCACCCGGGCAAGAAGCUGCGGCAAAGAAUAUCAUGGUCUUGGAAAAGCGGUUAAAUUCUCUGCUUUUAGCUCGCAACUCAUUUUACUCUAGCGACAUCGAGGAUAAAAUUAAAAAAAUUAAAAAGGCGCUAGAAGAAGCAAGACAAGAUUUGAAAAAAAAGAAGAGUAAUGCUGCCUAUAAAAAGAAACACCGUGAUAAUAAAAAGGCGAAAAUGGGCGAAAUAUGCACGGAAUUUCUUCUGGUGAAAGAGAAAUUGCACCAACAAGACAGGGUUGGCAGACCCCGAAUAGAAGAGAAUCAGCCACUUCUCCUGAAAACUAUCAUCAACAUUGCGAUGUUUGGCAGUGCUGUGGAUGACCGAAGGCGCUCCAAUAUAAUUUGUAGCAUCAAAACUUUUGAUGAACUUUAUGAGGAGUUGCUUAAACUAGGUUUCUCAUUCAGCAGGUAUAUAAUAUAAACUCUAUUCUUAAAUGACUUUCUUGAAUUUUAUCUAGAUUGAAAUUAAUAUUUACAAAAAUCUUAAUCCUUUUAUAUUAGAUCCUUAUCUAAUAUAGCAGCUUAUCUACGACUCUUGCCUAAAAACUCUUGCAUUCUAGAGGGACAGCGUCAUGUAAAAACGAUGCCCGUAAGACUUACUCGCGCACAAACAGACUUGCACCGCAAGCACGUGGAUGGCCCUUUUGCCAUGGCCUCCAUAAGAUAUCUCGAAUGCCUUGCUUCUCUUCUUGGUCCGUCGCAAGUGUGUUUUAUUUCACAGGACUAUAAGGCCCGAGUGCCGAUAGGAUUAACAGCAGCAAACAAACAAGCUCCAUUAUUAAUGCAUGUUGAGUACCGUGUAUCAUUACCCGACCAUAAUUGGGUGGUAGCAGCGAGACACAAACUUAUACCUUCUGUUUGCUGGAAUAUGCAUUAGCCCUAAACAAAUGGGCUGUCCUAAAGCUGUGGGCUAUUCGGGUUCGACUUUUAUAGCCAGAAGUGGCAAGCAUUUCUCGUUCACAACGCACGGAAUGUGCACGCACUUCUAGAUCUGGAGGCGUUUCAUGCAUUAGUAAGAACAAAGGAGAGCAGUGUGAAGCCAGUUUUGAUUUUAACUAUAGAUGGCGGACCGGAUGAAAACCCGCGCUACAGCAAGGUGAAUGCCCAUGCUAUCAGCCAUUUAAAAAAAUAUAAUUUAGAUGCUAUAUUUGUCGCCACAAACGCACCAGGCAGAAGCGCCUUUAACCAAGCAGAACGUCGCAUGGCUCCCUUGACCUAUGAACUUGCUGGUCUUAUUUUGCCUCAUGACAAAUUUGGGACACAUCUCAACGUACAGGGGAAGACUUUCGAUAAAGAAUUGGAGCGCAAAAGCUUUGAAUAUGGUCGAGCUCUAGCAGAGGUAUGGAGCAACCUAACAAUCAAUGGACAUCCAGUGCACGCACAGUAUGUUCCUCCAAGGGAAAAGCUUGAUACCCCUGAAGAAUGUGAUGCUAAAUGGUACAGCCGUCAUGUCCGAGAAAGCUAGUAUUUGCUUUAGAUUGUGAAGUGUAACUCGCAUGAUUGUUGUUCCAUUACUCGGAGUGGGUCAAAAAGAGUGCUGUCGGAAGGAUUUCUUUCCCCUCCUAUUCGAGUGACGCAAACAACGCAUGAUUUAGUCAUCACCAAGAAUGAAACAAAUGGGAGUUUCAUAGAUUUGAUGACUCAUAUCUCUCUCAAACUGAAUCCCGAUUCAAGAGAUUUUUUGCAGGUUUUGUAUGAUUUUUUUUGCAAAUUCGUAAAAUUGCAAUUGGAUGGGCGUAUUUGCAAAACGUGUGGCUUAUAGCAUGCUUCAAAAAAAUCUUUAUUACGUCAUUCAAAGCAUGUGCACUCCCAGAAAGAGGAUGCACAUGCUUCAAAUGAUGUAAUAAAGAUUAGAAUAGCUGUUCGACGCAGUGGAAAAGUCCUCUGCGUCGUCAAAGAUCCUGUAUCGAGGUGCGAAGAUACAGAGUGGAUGGAAGAAACAGAAGUAGAGGCAGAUAGUAACAGCGACUCGCACUUCAUUGAUCAGGAGGAUAUUUUGAUAAACAAUAUGAGUAAUUGGUUGAGAGGAUCAUUUAAAAAUGACGAUUGAAUGUUGAUAAUUACAAUUAAGUGAAACAAAAGAUUUUAUUAAUUUUGCCGAUAACAUAUUGUAUUCUUAUUAUUCUCACAAUAUUUUAGGGGUAUGUAUUUUGCAUAUUGAUACUAUAUCCUCUCUACUUUCAGUUAUUUAAAAAAUCAUAUAGUUCCGUUGAAAACAAAAAAAUACGCCAAGACAAAUUUUUAUUAGUAAUAUCAGCAAAUUAGAUAUUUUUAGAAUUUACAUCGAGCAUAUAGGAAAAUCUUACGUAAUUUGGGGGGAGGAGAGUCUUAAAAAAUUUGACAUUUGCUUACAUUGGGGAGGGGGGGAUUCAAAAAAGGAGGGGUUAAAAAUUUGCUUACAUAAUAUAUGGACGGCCUCAUACCGACAGUUUGUUGUAUUACCUCGAGUGCAAAGAUGUGUAUGAGAUGAUGAAAAGUGAUAUAGCGAGAUAUGAUACAAACGAUUAUCUGGCGGACAACGCAUACGGAAUACCUCUUGCAAAUAAAAAGGUUUCCGGGCUAACAAACAAUGAAAAUAAUGGUUUAAUUAUGACUGAAUUUGUUGGACUUAGGGCGAAGAUGUACGCGGUGAGAGUAGAAGGUAAACAAGAUACGAAAAAGGCGAAAAGCGUAAAGAAUAAUGUUGUAGCACGAACUAUUACUUUUGAAGAUUACAUACGUUGUUUGAAUGAUGCAAUAGAAUUAACUCGACGUCAAACGUGCAUACGCUUGAAGUUACAUGAGGUUUAUUCUAUUAAUGAGAAGAAGGUCGCGCUUAGUUCUCUAGACGAUAAAAGAUAUGUAUUGCCGCAUUCAACAAAAACAUUAUCCUGGGAACAUUAGCGGAUACAAUUAUAAUAUAUUGUAUUAUAUCUCAUAUAUUGUUUCAGAUAUUUUUUUUUACACGUUUAAUAUGUAUUAUGAAUUAGAUAUUUUGUAUUUUUUUAUUUGUU